AGGUUCGCCGCCCCUGUAUCCAGCGCUUUGGCCUCGGGGCGCGCCUUCCCGCGCACGGGUGUUCACGCGAACUCGGGCAGCCUCUGGACUUUGCCGAAAGGGCGCUUCAAAAGAGGAUUUCGCCUCUCCCUUCGCCCUCCGUUCCCAUCACGGUGGGCUGGUGCGGUCCCGAGCUGUGACGUCUCUCUUGCAUCAUGGGCCGGGGUCUCCCUGGCCAAGGUCUUUGCUGCUUCCCCACUGCCUACAAAAUCAUGAUCAACUUCUUCAGCUUGAUAUGCAAGACUUAUCACAGGUGAACCCAGGACUAUCUUCACAGUCUUGUCUCUGAUUGCCUGAAUACCCUAAAGUCACCCUGGACUAGCGUUCAUCAUUCCCUGCCUGUCCAUGCAAUUUCAUGCCUCUUUGCUACUGUCCAUUCUGUUCCAUCAUCUCUUCUCUUCCUGGUGAAACUCCUUUCCAUCCUUCCAGAUUUGGCUCUAAAUGUCACUCUCUUCUACAACUUCCUUUGAUCCUUUCUUCAGGGAGCUGGAGGAGGAAGUAAGGGAAGGGUCAGUAAGUAUUUCCAUAGAAUUUUAUUUACUAU
rnacentral:lncRNA from 1 species